rnacentral:rRNA from 1 species
UCCGUAGGGUGCAAGCGUUAAUCGGAAUUACUGGGCUUAAAGCGUGCGCAGGCGGUGAUGUAAGACAGUUGUGAAAUCCCCGGGCUCAACCUGGGAACUGCAUCUGUGACUGCAUCGCUGGAGUGCGGCAGAGGGGGAUGGAAUUCCGCGUGUAGCAGUGAAAUGCGUAGAUAUGCGGAGGAACACCGAUGGCGAAGGCAAUCCCCUGGGCCUGCACUGACGCUCAUGCACGAAAGCGUGGGGAGCAAACAGG